AUGCAAGUCGAACGGCAGCGGGGAGGAGCUUGCUUCUCUGCCGGCGAGUGGCGAACGGGUGAGUAAUACAUCGGAACGUGUCGAGAAGAGGGGGAUAACCACCCGAAAGGGUGGCUAAUACCGCAUAAAUUCUGAGGAAGAAAGCUGGGGACCUAGGAAUAGGCCUAGCGCUUUUUGAGCGGCCGAUGUCGGAUUAGCUAGUUGGUGAGGUAAAGGCUCACCAAGGCGAAGAUCUGUAGCGGGUCUGAGAGGAUGAUCCGCCACACUGGGACUGAGACACGGCCCAGACUCCUACGGGAGGCAGCAGUGGGGAAUUUUGGACAAUGGGGGCAACCCUGAUCCAGCCAUGCCGCGUGUAUGAAGAAGGCCUUAGGGUUGUAAAGUACUUUUGUUAGGGAAGAAAAGUCAGCUGUGAAUAAUGGCUGAUACUGACGGUACCUAAAGAAUAAGCACCGGCUAACUACGUGCCAGCAGCCGCGGUAAUACAUAGGGUGCGAGCGUUAAUCGGAAUUAUUGGGCGUAAAGCGAGUGUAGACGGUUAUUUAAGCCAGAUGUGAAAUACCCGAGCCUAACUUGGGAGGUGCAUAUGGAACUGGGUAGCUAGAGUGUGUCAGAGGGAGGUAGAACUCCACGUGUAGCAGUGAAAUGCGUAGAGAUGUGGAAGAAUACCGAUGGCGAAGGCAGCCUCCUGGGAUAACACUGACGUUGAAGCUCGAAAGCGUGGGGAGCAAACAGGAUUAG
rnacentral:rRNA from 1 species